AACGAACGCUGGCGGCAUGCCUAACACAUGCAAGUCGAACGAGACCUUCGGGUCUAGUGGCGCACGGGUGCGUAACGCGUGGGAACCUGCCCUUAGGUUCGGAAUAACUCCCCGAAAGGGGUGCUAAUACCGGAUAAUGUCUUCGGACCAAAGAUUUGUCGCCUUUGGAUGGGCCCGCGUUGGAUUAGCUAGUUGGUAGGGUAAAAGCCUACCAAGGCGACGAUCCAUAGCUGGUCUGAGAGGAUGAUCAGCCACACUGGGACUGAGACACGGCCCAGACUCCUACAGGAGGCAGCAGUGGGGAAUAUUGGACGAUGGGCGAAAGCCUGAUCCAGCAAUGCCGCGUGAGUGAUGAAGGCCUUAGGGUUGUAGCUCUUUUACCCGGGAUGAUAAUGACAGUACCGGGAGAAGAAGCUCCGGCUAACUCCGUG
rnacentral:rRNA from 1 species